GGGGUUGUGGCUCAGCGGUAGAGCACUCACCUAGCAUGCACAGGGGUUAGAUCCUCAACAACACAUUUAAAAAAAAAAAAAUAUAUAUAUAUAUAUAUAUAUCUCCAAUCAAUUGGGCUGAAGAUGUGGCUCAAGCAGUAGUGCGCUUUCCUGGCAUGCGUGGGGCGCUGGGUUCGAUCCCCAACACCA
rnacentral:tRNA from 1 species